rnacentral:misc_RNA from 1 species
GCUCUGACAAUUAUCUUGGGAACGAUGGUCGUGAUGGUGACCGUGUUACUCAGGGCCUUGGUGCAGUUUGGAGUUUAAUCUUGGGUCGCCCCCCUAAUCGUCAAGCAUGCAUGGAUAUAGCUUUGAAGUGUGCUAUUCACCCCCAGGACGAGGUCCGAGCAAAAGCUAUUCGCCUGGUGUCAAACAAACUUUACGUGGUUGGUGACAUUUCAGAUAAUAUCGAGCAGUAUGCUAAGAAUAUGUUCUUGUCAGCUGUAAACCAGCAUGUCACAGAUGCAGAAUAUUCCCAGUCUGGAACUUUGGUUCAGAGGACAGGAGAGACAGGAAAUCAGGAAGCGUCAGUUAGUGGUUCUCAGAUUUCAGGGCCAGGAUUCUUUGAAAAUGAUUUUGUUAAGACUGCAGCAACUGAUUCUCAAAGUGAUUCAGAGUUGUCUUUAGCUCAAGCUCAGCGGCUUAUCUCAUUAUUUUUUGCUCUAUGCACUAAGAAAUUCAGUCUUCUCCACCUUGUAUUUGAUACUUAUGCACGUGCUCCU